UGGGGAAUAUUGGGCAAUGGAGGCAACUCUGACCCAGCAAUACCGCGUGAGUGAAGAAGGUCUUCGGAUUGUAAAGCUCUGUUGAGGGGGACGAAAACAAUGACGGUACCUCUUAAGAAAGCCACGGCAAACUACGUGCCAGCAGCCGCGGUAAUACGUAGGUGGCAAGCGUUGUCCGGAAUGACUGGGCGUAAAGGGUGCGUAGGCGGCUUGACAAGUUGAAAGUGUAAUCCCGUGGCUCAACUGCGGUGCUACUUUCAAAACUGUCGAGCUUGAGUGUGGGAGAGGUAAGUGGAAUUCCUAGUGUAGCGGUGGAAUGCAUAGAUAUUAGGAGGAACACCAGCGGCGAAGGCGACUUACUGGACCAUAACUGACGCUGAGGCACGAAAGCGUGGGGAGCAAACA
rnacentral:rRNA from 1 species